rnacentral:rRNA from 1 species
UGCAGUCGAGCGGAACGACACUAACAAUCCUUCGGGUGCGUUAAUGGGCGUCGAGCGGCGGACGGGUGAGUAAUGCCUAGGAAAUUGCCUUGAUGUGGGGGAUAACCAUUGGAAACGAUGGCUAAUACCGCAUAAUGCCUACGGGCCAAAGAGGGGGAUCUUCGGACCUCUCGCGUCAAGAUAUGCCUAGGUGGGAUUAGCUAGUUGGUGAGGUAAUGGCUCACCAAGGCGACGAUCCCUAGCUGGUCUGAGAGGAUGAUCAGCCACACUGGAACUGAGACACGGUCCAGACUCCUACGGGAGGCAGCAGUGGGGAAUAUUGCACAAUGGGCGAAAGCCUGAUGCAGCCAUGCCGCGUGUAUGAAGAAGGCCUUCGGGUUGUAAAGUACUUUCAGUUGUGAGGAAGGGGGUAACGUUAAUAGCGUUAUCUCUUGACGUUAGCAACAGAAGAAGCACCGGCUAACUCCGUGCCAGCAGCCGCGGUAAUACGGAGGGUGCGAGCGUUAAUCGGAAUUACUGGGCGUAAAGCGCAUGCAGGUGGUUCAUUAAGUCAGAUGUGAAAGCCCGGGGCUCAACCUCGGAACUGCAUUUGAAACUGGUGAACUAGAGUGCUGUAGAGGGGGGUAGAAUUUCAGGUGUAGCGGUGAAAUGCGUAGAGAUCUGAAGGAAUACCAGUGGCGAAGGCGGCUCCUCUGGACAGACACUGACACUCAGAUGCGAAAGCGUGGGGAGCAAACAGGAUUAGAUACCUCUGGUAGUCCACGCCGUAAACGAUGUCUACUUGGAGGUUGUGGUCUUGAGCCGUGGCUUUCGGAGCUAACGCGUUAAGUAGACCGCCUGGGGAGUACGGUCGCAAGAUUAAAACUCA